rnacentral:rRNA from 1 species
GACGAACGCUGGCGGCGUGCUUAACACAUGCAAGUCGAGCGAGGCCCCUCCUUCGGGAGGGUGUUCUAGUGGCGAACGGGUGAGUAACACGUGGGCAACCUGCCCCCGGCUCUGGGAUAACCCCAAGAAAUUGGGGCUAAUACCGGAUAUGACCGCUGACCGCAUGGUCUGGUGGUGGAAAGUUUUUCGGCUGGGGAUGGGCCCGCGGCCUAUCAGCUUGUUGGUGGGGUAGUGGCCUACCAAGGCGACGACGGGUAGCCGGCCUGAGAGGGUGACCGGCCACACUGGGACUGAGACACGGCCCAGACUCCUACGGGAGGCAGCAGUGGGGAAUAUUGGACAAUGGGCGGAAGCCUGAUCCAGCAACGCCGCGUGAGGGAUGACGGCCUUCGGGUUGUAAACCUCUUUCAGCGGGGACGAAGCCGCCUUCGGGCGGUGACGGUACCCGCAGAAGAAGCACCGGCCAACUACGUGCCAGCCGCCGCGGUAACAC